UACAGAGGUCUCAAGCGUUGUUCGGAUUCAUUGGGCGUAAAGGGUGCGUAGGCGGCUUUGUAAGUUAGAGGUGAAAGCCCGGGGGCUCAACUCCGGAAUUGCCUUUAAGACUGCAUCGCUAGAAUUGUGGAGAGGUAAGUGGAAUUCCGAGUGUAGAGGUGAAAUUCGUAGAUAUUCGGAAGAACACCAGUGGCGGAAGGCGACUUACUGGACACAGUAUUGACGCUGAGGUGCGAAAGCGUGGGGAGCAA
rnacentral:rRNA from 1 species